ensembl:lncRNA novel transcript
AUGCCCUGGUAGAUUCCUGAGAAAAGGAACAGGAGGAUGAGAGGUUCAAUGUUUUACACAUUGCUGGUCUGAUAGCUCAGCUUCAUUCACAGUGUUUGUGAGGCAAACAUGUUCCAAAGAAGGCCAGAAAAAGCCCAGCCAGGUUGAAUUCUGUGGAAAAUUCACCGAAAAGAUACAAUGCAUUUGAAACAAAACAAAACAAAACCAAAAAACACCUGCAGAAGUCCACUUGAAAAACCUGGGCUUAUUCACUCUCUGUGCCUCCCAUAUUCUAGAAGAUGUCUGCACAUAGAAUGUACAGAAAAAUGUCUGUCUUUGCCCAUGAUGGGAGAGGAAAGGCCAUUGUGUCUCUUGUUAGCAGAUCAAGAUUGGCAUUAGAGCUCAUCGAGGAGAACUGUGUCUUGACCAGCAUCCUUGAUCACUGAGGACACUGGUGGUCCUAUGUUGGUGAGGUGCCAGCUUUUCACACUCAGUCUUUUUCUAAUGCAGUCACUCCAGAGCCAUUUCUUAGCCAAUGAUCUCUGUCCUGUUGUCUCACAUAAAGUGAGCAGCCCCAUCUCUGUUACA